AAUGACAACAUCAGAGAAGAAACAUUUCUCGAUUUUGGAGAUGAACCGGUUAGAGAUUGGAGAACAAAGCUUCAGAUUUUAAAGUUUGAUUAUUCCUGGGCCGAGAGAGUUGAAGAAGAGGAG